UUGUACAUAACAAACUAGACAUAGGACCUGAGUUUCCCAAUUCUUAGACCUCAGCACUAUCCAGAAAGUGGGUCAAGAAUUCAGUAUCCUCAUUCGUAAAAUGGAAAAGUUUAAUCACAGGGUCUCUAAAUCCCUUCUAAAAUUCUAUGAUUUUUACAAACUAGAUUGUAACAGGCUCUCCAGUGAAGAGGAAAGAGCACUGAACCUGCUUCUGAAUACCUAGGUUCAAGCACUAGUUUUACCCUUCACAGAAUGAAAAUUUUUACAGUACCUACCUCAUAAUGUUCUUGGAAAGAUUAAUGUGUGACAAUUUUGCAAACUGCUAAACUAUAUAAAUAUAAGGUGGUUUAAUUACAUAUGUGUACAAAUACUGUGAAAACUGUAAAUACACAUUUAAAGUUUUAUGUUAGAGCAUGAGUAUUUUAACCAAGAAAGGUUCCAAAGGACAGUUGCACUCUCUUCAACCGUAAUUUCAAGGGAAGGCAAAGCAAGAAUUACAUAGGAUAGCAGAUACAAAGCACUUGCAUGAAAAUGGGCAUAUCUGAACAAAAGCUGUAGCAGAAGUAGGGCCAGGUAACCAACCUCUCAUGAAUGUAUAGAAUAAAAAGAAUAACCUGGUGUUAUGGAAGGACUUACCAGGGAGGGUUAGUACAUCAGCUGGUGCAAAAAAGAUGGUAUUUUUAGGUGAAGAUAGGAGAGCUUGAAGAAUGUAACUUUUCAUUGUGCAAGAUGGAAGUAUAACCAGUUAAGAGCUCCAUCAAGUUCUACCAGAGGGAGUGGCUAUGUAAAUGAAAUUCUGCUUUUAAAAUACCUAUUAUAUAAACGUUUCUAGCUUCAGAAAACUCAAGCCCUGUUGUACAAGCCCUAGCAGGGUGGCACAGGAGAAGGAAAAAAGAAAACUAUAAAAAAAAAAAAAAAAAAAGAAAUGCUGCCAAAGCCUCUCUUUUCCUUUGGAAUAUAAAUCUUUUGAUUAUAAUACAUUUCAAAUAAUUGCCACAUAAAG